rnacentral:rRNA from 1 species
CCUACGGGAGGCAGCAGUGGGGAAUCUUGCGCAAUGGGCGAAAGCCUGACGCAGCCAUGCCGCGUGAAUGAUGAAGGUCUUAGGAUUGUAAAAUUCUUUCACCGGGGACGAUAAUGACGGUACCCGGAGAAGAAGCCCCGGCUAACUUCGUGCCAGCAGCCGCGGUAAUACGAAGGGGGCUAGCGUUGCUCGGAAUUACUGGGCGUAAAGGGAGCGUAGGCGGAUAGUUUAGUCAGAGGUGAAAGCCCAGGGCUCAACCUUGGAAUUGCCUUUGAUACUGGCUAUCUUGAGUAUGGGAGAGGUUAGCGGAACUCCGAGUGUAGAGGUGAAAUUCGUAGAUAUUCGGAAGAACACCAGUGGCGAAGGCGGCUAACUGGCCCAUUACUGACGCUGAGGCUCGAAAGCGUGGGGAGCAAACAGGAUUAGAUACCCUGGUAGUCCACGCCGUAAACGAUGAGUGCUAGUUGUCGGCAUGCAUGCAUGUCGGUGACGCAGCUAACGCAUUAAGCACUCCGCCUGGGGGAGGUACGGUCGCGAGAAUAAACUACAAUAGAAGUUAGACGGCGUGAGACGUGCCGAACGGACGACCGACGAGGGAGGUAGG